rnacentral:lncRNA from 1 species
AUUUUUGUAUUUUUUGAAUAUCAAAAACUAUUUAAAAUGAAUUAAAAAUAAGCAGAAAAGAGAAAAAUAUUAAAAAAUAUCAAAUGAUAAAAUAAAAAAUAUUAAAAAUCAUUUUUAGAAACUAGAAAUUAAAAGAGAAAUAAUGCAAUUGGUCCCAUAAUUUUUGGACCAAUAAUAAAAGAGAUACAAAUUUUAGAAAUAAAAUGGAAUUAAAAAAAUAAAAGAAAAUAGAAAUCAGAAAAUGAAAAUUAGGAAAAAGGAGAGGCGUUGGAUGGUGGCUCAUUAAUUGAGCUGGCACAUCACAUGGCCCUCAACGCGUUUCCACAAUACAUCCAAGUCAA